GCCUGGGUGGCUCAGUGGGUUAAGCCUCUGCCUUCAACUCACACCAUGAUCCCAGGGUGUGGGAUCAAGUCCCACACCAGGCU
rnacentral:tRNA from 1 species